GCGAGUCUUUGCAGUAAUGCAAGGCAUACGGCUCAGUAACACGUAGUCAACUUACCCAAUGGACGAGGAUAAUCUCGGGAAACUGAGCAUAAUACUCGAUAGAUCAUAAUGCCUGGAAUGGUUUGUGUUUCAAAUGAUUUAUUGCCAUAGGAUGGGACUGCGGCCUAUCAGUUUGUUGGUGAGGUAAUGGCCCACCAAGACUAUUACAGGUACGGGCUCUGAGAGGAGUGGCCCGGAGAUGGGUACUGAGACACGGACCCAGGCCCUAUGGGGCGCAGCAGGCGAGAAAACUUUGCAAUGUGCGAAAGCACGACAAGGUUAAUCCGAGUGGUUUCUGCUAAAGGAACCUUUUGACAGUCCUAGAAACACUGUUGAAUAAGGGGUGGGCAAGUUCUGGUGUCAGCCGCCGCGGUAAAACCAGCACCUCAAGUGGUCAGGAUGAUUAUUGGGCCUAAAGCAUCCGUAGCCGGCUCAGUAAGUUUCCGGUUAAAUCUGUACGCUCAACGUACAGGCUGCCGGGAAUACUGCAGAGCUAGGGAGUGGGAGAGGUAGACGGUACUCGGGAGGAAGUGGUAAAAUGCUUUGAUCUCUCGAUGACCACCUGUGGCGAAGGCGGUCUACCAGAACACGUCCGACGGUGAGGGAUGAAAGCUGGGGGAGCA
rnacentral:rRNA from 1 species